rnacentral:rRNA from 1 species
GACGAACGCUGGCGGCGUGCUUAACACAUGCAAGUCGAACGGAAAGGCCCUUCGGGGUCCUCGAGUGGCGAACGGGUGAGUAACACGUGGGUGAUCUGCCCUGCACUUUGGGAUAAGCCUGGGAAACUGGGUCUAAUACCGAAUAGGACCACGCGCUUCAUGGUGUGUGGUGGAAAGCUUUUGCGGUGUGGGAUGGGCCCGCGGCCUAUCAGCUUGUUGGUGGGGUAAUGGCCUACCAAGGCGACGACGGGUAGCCGGCCUGAGAGGGUGACCGGCCACACUGGGACUGAGAUACGGCCCAGACUCCUACGGGAGGCAGCAGUGGGGAAUAUUGCACAAUGGGCGCAAGCCUGAUGUAGCGACGCCGCGUGAGGGAUGACGGCCUUCGGGUUGUAAACCUCUUUCAAUAGGGACGAAGCGCAAGUGACGGUACCCAUAGAAGAAGCACCGGCCAACUACGUG